UAGGGAAUCUUCGGCAAUGGACGAAAGUCUGACCGAGCAACGCCGCGUGAGUGAAGAAGGUUUUCGGAUCGUAAAACUCUGUUGUUAGAGAAGAACAAGGACGUUAGUAACUGAACGUCCCCUGACGGUAUCUAACCAGAAAGCCACGGCUAACUACGUGCCAGCAGCCGCGGUAAUACGUAGGUGGCAAGCGUUGUCCGGAUUUAUUGGGCGUAAAGCGAGCGCAGGCGGUUUCUUAAGUCUGAUGUGAAAGCCCCCGGCACAACCGGGGAGGGUCAUUGGAAACUGGGAGACUUGAGUGCAGAAGAGGAGAGUGGAAUUCCAUGUGUAGCGGUGAAAUGCGUAGAUAUAUGGAGGAACACCAGUGGCGAAGGCGGCUCUCUGGUCUGUAACUGACGCUGAGGCUCGAAAGCGUGGGGAGCAAACAGG
rnacentral:rRNA from 1 species